ACGGGUGAGUAAUGCCUAGGAAUCUGCCUGGUAGUGGGGGACAACGUCUCGAAAGGGACGCUAAUACCGCAUACGUCCUACGGGAGAAAGUGGGGGAUCUUCGGACCUCACGCUAUCAGAUGAGCCUAGGUCGGAUUAGCUAGUUGGUGAGGUAAUGGCUCACCAAGGCGACGAUCCGUAACUGGUCUGAGAGGAUGAUCAGUCACACUGGAACUGAGACACGGUCCAGACUCCUACGGGAGGCAGCAGUGGGGAAUAUUGGACGAUGGGCGAAAGCCUGAUCCAGCCAUGCCGCGUGUGUGAAGAAGGUCUUCGGAUUGUAAAGCACUUUAAGUUGGGAGGAAGGGUUGUAGAUUAAUACUCUGCAAUUUUGACGUUACCGACAGAAUAAGCACCGGCUAACUCUGUGCCAGCAGCCGCGGUAAUACAGAGGGUGCAAGCGUUAAUCGGAAUUACUGGGCGUAAAGCGCGCGUAGGUGGUUUGUUAAGUUGAAUGUGAAAUCCCCGGGCUCAACCUGGGAACUGCAUCCAAAACUGGCAAGCUAGAGUAGGGCAGAGGGUGGUGGAAUUUCCUGUGUAGCGGUG
rnacentral:rRNA from 1 species